AUCUCAGAAGCCAAGCAGGGUUGGGCCUGGUUAGUACUUGGAUGGGAGACGGGUCUCACUCUUGUCAGUUUUUAUUUUAAUAUUAUAUAUUAUCUUUCUUUUUAUUAUCUCCAGAUCAUGCUUUUUGAGCCAGGGCUCUGUCAUCCAU
rnacentral:miRNA from 10 species